rnacentral:sRNA from 1 species
UUUUUUCAUCAUUUUGAUUUUUUUUUCUUCUUCUUAUCUUU